rnacentral:lncRNA from 1 species
AUCGUGCUCAACAAGAAUCACUCAAAGGGUGGCAGAGUGAUCAAGAACACCAAGAACAUCCUAAUGUCCUACGUCCAUGUGGAACUUACAUUCAAUGACAAGAAGAAUGUGCCAGAGUCCUUCAAAGGGACCAAGAAAGGCAUCGUCUACCUUACCCCUUACCGAUCAUCUUUCUGUCCAAGAAGAAGAACUCCAUGAAGCCUUCGUGAUGCCUUUUCACCUGAUGAAGGACUGUGAGAUCAACUAGCCUGUUUGCUGCCAACUACUUCAAAAGAACAGUGAAGGGUGAAGCGGGAGAUGGCUGGGAGGGCUGGGGUUCAUACAAGUUAACCUUACAGCAGUUUGGACAAUGAAUGCUCCAGGUGGCAUUUCAAGCCUCCAGGGGCGAGGCCCCCAAUGGAGGCUACGGGUACUCUUACAUACCCAACAGAGCCUAUGUCUUUCCUCUGCCAGUUGCCAAUGGAAUGUACCUUUGCCCUCCUGGCUACCCCAAUCCACAGUCCCCAUCUGAGUUCUAUCCAGGACCUCCCAUGAUGGAUGGAGCUAUGGGAUGCCUGCAAUCCCUGCCACUGCCCUAUCUGGGCUCAUGGAACCUCUGGUCAGUGGCCCCAUUGGCCCCUCUGCUCUGGCAGCCAAAGCCAGAGCCACAGAAGCAGUUGUCAGUGCCAGGCAACCCACACAACACCUACAUACCUAGGAACCAGCCUCUGCCACUACACUAUUACAGCCCCCUCCUCUGAAAAUA